rnacentral:rRNA from 1 species
CGCGUAGGCGGUCCUGUAAGUCUUGUGUGAAAUCCCUCGGCUUAACUGAGGAACUGCACGAGAUACUGCGAGACUUGAGUUCGGGAGAGGAAAGCGGAAUUCCGGGUGUAGCGGUGAAAUGCGUAGAUAUCCGGAGGAACACCGGUGGCGAAGGCGGCUUUCUGGACCGACACUGACGCUGAGGCGCGAAAGCUAGGGGAGCAAACG